rnacentral:tRNA from 1 species
GGCGAACAUAGUUUAAUGGUAAAACAUUAGCCUUCCAAGUUGAUGAUACGGGUUCGAUUCCCGUUGUUCGCUA